rfam:Ectocarpus siliculosus strain Ec 32, whole genome shotgun sequence assembly, chromosome LG03
GUCCGUGUGGCCCAAUGGAUAAGGCGUCCGCCUACGAAGCGGAAGAUUCCGGGUUCGAGCCCCGGCAUGGAUU